UGACUCCGAUGCCAGUUGGGACAAUGAAUCAACUCCCAGGUUUCAGUUUCAACUUUAAAGGACUUAACUAGCAUGGUGCCAAACCUAUGGUGGGGAUAGGGCACAGCAACUUGGAGAGAUCUUUUCAAACUAAAGUCCCAUCCCACUGUUAGCCCCACCAGCUGCCAUUGUUUGUAACUUGCCAUUUUUAAACAUGAAUCCAGGAAGCCUGUCCAUCUUGAUGACUAGGCUGAGGCAUCUAAAGUUGGCUGUGUUACUCCCAAGACUGAACCUGACUGUGUAUGGCUCUUCUUCAAAUUCUGGGAUUGCUUUUCUUCCACUAUUGUGCAAGUAAAGAAAAUAUAAUCAAAGCAAUAUAUAACAUUUUGGGACUAUCUAGGAACAUAUCACCCAUGAAUACAGGGGCUGUGUUGUAUUAUUUAAAGUUGACAACAUUGAUGUAAAACAUUAAUGUAAAAUCAUUUGAAAUCAUAUUUAAAUAUAAGAUUAAAGUCUGGGACACCAUAUUAAAAUACUCUGCACAAUUGAUGAAAAAUCAAAGGCUUUUGAAAAUUAAAAAGGUCUUUGCUUGUUGAAAAGACAGCAGGGGAAAGAGAAGCUGAACCUCCUGUGGGAGCAAGCCCCAUUGCCUGGUAGCAGCCACUGAGAAGACCAUCUCCACCAUCGUAAUUAAAUGCAACUGUGAUGGUGGUGGAUCUGAGAAAAAACUCAAGGUUGCAUGCUACCUUGGGUUCCAUGUCAGGAGAAAGGUGGGAUAUUAAACAAGAAAACAAAGAACAUUAAACUACAGAACAAAUCUACAGUGACAUGGAAACAACCACAGUCACUGAAAAAAAGCAUCUGGGAAAGCUGCUGAACUGUCAAGACUUGGGAUGGGUAAGGGACAUUUUCAGAUAUUCAAAUAAAGGUCAAGCACAGAGCUUUCCAAACAUUUCAUGUUGGUGACACAUUUUUUUAGAAAUGCAUCAUUUUGCAACACAGUAAUUUAGUUUUACUAGCAAACCAGAGGUUAAAAAAACAUCAUAAGAGAUACAAACACAUGCAUGCAUUGUAAUAAUGAAAUGUAAGGUAAAGGUAAAGGUUUUCCCCUGACAUUAGGUCUAGUC